GGUCAAAUCAUCAUGCCCCUUAUAUCUUGGGCAACACACGUGCUACAAUGGGCGUUACAAAGUGAAGCAUAGCCGCGAGGUGAAGCGAAGCACAAAAAGGCGCCCUCAGUUCGGAUUGUAGUCUGCAACUCGACUACAUGAAGUUGGAAUCGCUAGUAAUCGCAAAUCAGCAUGUUGCGGUGAAUACGUUCCCGGGCCUU
rnacentral:rRNA from 1 species